UACGAAGGAGGCUAGCGUUGCUCGGAUUGACUGGGCGUAAAGGGCGCGUAGGCGGUUCGUACAGUCAGACGUGAAAUUCCUGGGCUCAACCUGGGGGCUGCGUUUGAUACGUGCGGACUUGAGUGCGGAAGAGGGUCGUGGAAUUCCCAGUGUAGAGGUGAAAUUCGUAGAUAUUGGGAAGAACACCGGUGGCGAAGGCGGCGACCUGGUCCGAUACUGACGCUGAGGCGCGAAAGCGUGGGGAGCAAACAGG
rnacentral:rRNA from 1 species